AACGAACGCUGGCGGCAGGCCUAACACAUGCAAGUCGAGCGAGAUCUUCGGGUCUAGCGGCGGACGGGUGAGUAACGCGUGGGAAUAUGCCUCUUGGUACGGAAUAGCCUCGGGAAACUGGGAGUAAUACCGUAUGUGCCCUUUGGGGGAAAGAUUUAUCGCCAAGAGAUUAGCCCGCGUUGGAUUAGGUAGUUGGUGGGGUAAUGGCCUACCAAGCCGACGAUCCAUAGCUGGUUUGAGAGGAUGAUCAGCCACACUGGGACUGAGACACGGCCCAGACUCCUACGGGAGGCAGCAGUGGGGAAUCUUAGACAAUGGGGGCAACCCUGAUCUAGCCAUGCCGCGUGAGUGACGAAGGCCUUAGGGUUGUAAAGCUCUUUCAGCUGGGAAGAUAAUGACGGUACCAGCAGAAGAAGCCCCGGCUAACUCCGUG
rnacentral:rRNA from 1 species